rnacentral:rRNA from 2 species
UUAAAUUGAAGAGUUUGAUCAUGGCUCAGAUUGAACGCUGGCGGCAGGCCUAACACAUGCAAGUCGAACGGUAACAGGAAGCAGCUUGCUGUUUUGCUGACGAGUGGCGGAC